UUUGUUUUAGUUUAUUAUGUUUAUGUAUUAUGAUCAGUUUUGUUAUAUUUUCUUUCUUUCUUGUUUCCUGUCUUUUAUAAUUUUCAAAUGAAUUUGUUUAGCCCAGAUGCAAAUACAAAUAUACUAUCUCUUAAAACAUUAACUUGUUCUAAAAAGCUUUAUAGUUUUUCUUAUGUUUUGGUUUAAUUCAAUUUAAAAAUGACUUAUUUUAUAUUAAGUUUUUAUUAUUAAUUUAUUAUACUUAUAUUUGGUUUGGCAUGUCAUAGGAAAUAUGUGUGCUACUAGGUCUGAAAGUUGAACUACCGAGGGUAUUGGUGCUUGUGCAACUUUUUCCAUAAUGUCUUCAGUCCUCAAAAGUUCAGUUUAGUUUGGCCAACUAGGGAAAAGUAAAGUAAAGUGAAGUGAAGUGAAGUUAACUGGAGUUGCGUUGAGUUCAGUUCCACAAAAUGCGUGACAAGACAAAGGCAACAACAGAGGCGUGAGUUGAUGUCUCUUUCUGGCCACCUCUCUCUCUCUCUCUCUCUCCCUCUCACGCUCACUCUCUUGCCCCCUCUCUCGCACUCUACCUUUCCUUACGUUUAUUUUUUUGUUUCUGUGGGAGGAGGUUAAGUAUUUACUGCGCACACCGAAAAAAUAGAAAAGCCAAAGGAAACGAAAAUCGUGAGAGAUGCGAAGAGAUGAAAGAGGGCAGGCAAUGGGGACCCGGUUCACUUUUUCCCGGCCUAGCAAAAUUCCCGGCCCCAAAGGACCCUCGCACACACACACACACACACACUCACUGGUAUAUCUAUGUAUAUACGGCAAAUACGCAGACGCAAUAGCAAAGAAAAAAAAUAAAAACGGACAGCUGCUUAACACUUCUGAAAGAGGGAGAAAGAGAGAAGGAGAUAGGUGUAGCAGAGCUGUCUGAUAAUAACGGCAAAGAUAAUGGAAAAGCGCACAAUACGCUAGGCUGCGAAGCCAGCGAAGCAGCGGGCGAAGCAGGAAACGCCAAUAAACGAGACAACACAGCGGACAAACGGCAAACGCAGCCAGGACACGCACUCUCUCUCCCCCCUCUCUCUCUCUAUCUCUCUUGCUCGCUCGCUCUCUUGAUUUGUGCGUGUGUAUGGGUUGCAUAAAUCCGCCAACAAGUUUCCCAUUGUGCAGGGCCUUAGAAUUUCCCUUUUUGCCUCAACAUCCUUUGCGCUCUCACUCUCUGUCCCUCGCCCUCCCUUUCUCUCUCCUUGCAAUGACUCACGAGCUUUGCCCUCGUAUUGGUGUUAUUUUGUUAUACACACACGCCACACGUGCGAAUGUGUGUGUGUGUGUGAGUGUGUGCGGGCAAGAGAGCGUAAGUGUGUGUGCGUGUGUAUGUGUGUGCGUCGGUGUCAUUACAUCGCCAGUUAAGCGCUUACACGCUUCAAUUUCUCGCUUGCCACUUAUGGCCCAACAUUCGUCGCCUUUCGUCCUUUUCGCCUCGCUGUCCGCUUCGGUGCGUGCCAUUUCCGCCGUUCCACGCGUUCCACAGCCACUCGUUUCACUCCGCUUCACCGUUCCAUUCCCACCUUGUGGCGGGCCACGUUUUUGCGCGCUCUUCCAGUUGUUUGUUCUGCUGGCCCUCGAACUGGAAACCAAGCGAAAGGCGAAAGGCGAAAAGCAAAGAGCGACUAGCGGGAUAAACCCGCUCCCUUUCCCUCAUUUGCUUAAAAAAAAAGAAAAUGCUGAAAAGAAGGCCUAGGGCAAAUCAAAGAAUAACUCUACUUUACUUUAUUCUAAAAAUAUCAUAAAUAUAUAUCUGUAUAUGCAUAUCUAAAAAUAAAUGUGACAAAUAACGCCGAAAGCAAUGUCAACAACAAAGUGGAAAAUGCAUUGCCUAAUUGCCAGUGGAAAAACAAUUCUAAAAGCCAAACAAAACAAGCAACUUUAAUA